UUAAGUACUUGUGCCGCGGGAA
rnacentral:miRNA from 1 species